GGUCUCACCUGAGGCUCCGCGGCGUCCCACCGGGGCCAGACACCGCCCCCUGGCGGCAGGUGGGCGCAAGCGCAGCGCAUGCUAAUGAGCCCGCGGCGCGGCGCGCUGAUUGGCUGGCGCGGAUUCCAGCGGCUUUCCCGGGGCGGGGGCCGAGGCCGAGGGAAGGGGCGCCGCCGGCAGCAGCCGCCCCGCCCCGCGCUCCGGGCCGCCCUCCUCCCGCCGGGCCGCCGGGGCGUGUGCGGGGCGCGCGGGCGCCUUCGCCGGGGGUUCCCCUCCUGCGGUCCGCUCGGGUUCUGGUUCGGCGUUCAUCGCGGGUCCAGGAUGACGAUCCGACACCAAGGCCAACAGUACAGGCCGAGGAUGGCAUUUCUGCAGAAGGUUUCCAAGCUGCCCGGGGGUCCUGAACAAUCAGCAGUGCUUGGGCGGAAUGUUGGAAGGGUAACCUGCACGUGAAUGCCCCCUGUGUGGCCCUCCUGCCUUCCCUGGGCUCACUUCCCCAGCUACCUACUGCUGCUUCCCAGGAUCAGUCCUCUCACCAACACUCAGAGGUCCCAUAAUUACCCCAUUUUACAGAGGUGGCCUGAUUUCCCCCAGAGGAAGCCACAGAGGAAUUUGGAGCAGGGAGACAGCUGGACCUGGGCAAGGACUACAAGGAGUAGGGAUCUUAAGGAAGCUUGGAUGGAUUUAGAAUUGCUCGUCUCAUCUAUAUAUAUCCCUCCAUGUAGCACACAUGGAGCAUCUGCUGUGUUGCAGACAUUGUUAGAUGCUGGGAUAGCAAUGACAUUCGAGACACGGUCCCUGCCUGCAAGUGGCUUCUAGUCUAGUAGGGGGAGACAGCCACACACACCAAUCCAGUGGCUCAUCAUAGGUGCCACGAGACACCUGGAGGGUAGAGGAAGUGCCAAAAUGUGCACACUCACUGUAUCCUGGGUGCAGUAUCAUGAAAGGAUUCUGGAAGAUUCUGUGGUGGUUUAGCUGGCUCUUGAAGGGCGCGAGGGUGUUCUUGAGGCAGAUGGGGUGUCGGAAGAGGGCGAGACACGAGAGCAGGAGGACGUGCAUCUAGUUGUGGAUUUACUGCGUGUCAGUCAUUGACCAGAGUCGGAUGGUGAUGGCCAACAGGCAGUUCUAUUUCCAGAAGGAGGUUCUGGAAUACUUGAGAAAGGUUCUCGGUGGUUGUUGAGAAUGAAACAGAAAUGAGGACUUUUUGAGGCCGGACCCAAGCUAGCGCGGCUUGUGGGACUUGGGCGUAUAGACUGUGAUUCGCAGCAGUGGAGUUGGGGCGUGAGUCCCUACUGCUGAAGAGAGUGCUGUGGUUUGGGAUCCUAUUACAUCUUUGCACAACAAAGGAUAUAAUUGGUAUGGUCCCCAGGAAUCCCUCUCUGGUUUAUGGGAACACUCUGCUCCCUGACAUCUUAUGGAGAGUGACAACCACUUAAUGGGAGGAGAAACCGAGAGCGUGGGUGGACGGGCUAUGGACGCUAUUGCUUUUGAAAUGCUCGUAGUGACGGUCUGGAUUCUCUGAAGUGCUCGAUGUCAUACCUCAGUCAGCGGGACUCUGAGAAGGGAAACGCUAGGCUCCUUGUGGGGUCAGAGAGGCCAAGGAUGACCUCUUUCUUGCAGCAUUUGUUUGUAGCCUCAGGAAUUAGUCGUGGAGAAGUCAGGAUUCUAGAGAGCCAGGAGGCUGUGGUCUGGACAACACUGUGUGUGUGUGUGUGUGUGUCUAAUGAAAGAAGGUACUUCAGGAGGGAUGCACACAGAACACAAAGAUGAGGGGGGCCCAGAGAAAUGCCCCAGCAACACCCUUUCUGGAGAGCUUUAAAAUCAAGGUGUGCUUUCUCUUGUUGGUGGGCAGUGUUCACCGAAGACGACGAGAUGGCCAAGAUCACCUCUCUGAGACUUUAGGAGUCAGUCCUAUGUUUUGUGCGUUAGAUUUAUUAUGAUUCUUUUUUUAGGGAACCACUUAAAUGAAUUUACAUUGGAAAAGGUCAGAGGAAAAUGAUUCUGGACCCUAAUGGAAAGACUCUUGUCUUAGUCUGUUCAGGCUGCUGUAACAAAAUGCCACAGCCUGGGUAGCUUAUAAACAACAGAAAUUUAUUUCUCCCAGUUCUGGAGGCUGAAGUCUGAGAUGCCAGUGUGGUCGGGUCUGGUGAGAGCCCCCUUCCCACUCCCAUACUUUGUGUGGCGUCCUCACAUGGUGGAUGGGGUGAGGGAGCUUUCUGGGGUCUCUUGUAUAAUCAGGGCACUAAUCUCAUUGACGAAGACUUUAUGGAAGUAAAACUAGUGAAUCACUAAAGUGGUAAUUAGUAAAAGUCGAUUGUGCCUACGCCAAAGAGAUAGUUUGCAAACCAGGAGCUCUCAGACCAAAGCAUGGAAUGAGGCUUGGGGACAUAUUGUUCUAAAACAGCUUAGAACGCAUGAAGGCAGUGAUUUUUUCUUUACAGUGAUUGGUUAUAAUAUUAGAAUUUUCUUAAAUGAUAAGGAAGUCGACAGUGCUUACCUCACAUCAACCUGGGGAAACAGUUCACAUGUUGCUUGUAAUUUCCAGAGGCACAAGCAAGAAAUGACCCAGGUCAAGUUAGCCUUGCAAAAUAAGCUAAAUCAACCUUUGUUUUUAUGACUAAACUGUUGUUGGUUUUUUUUUCCUGCUUCAGGAAUUUUCAAGGCUGGUCUUCAGUUGUUUUGGAUUUUGACGGUUGGGGGGACACAAAUAUUCCAAGCAUAGCAACUCCUGAAAGAUAUACAUGGCGCGCGCACACACACACACACACAAACACACAAACACACACACAGACACACAUGCUCCGCUCUUCAGCAAGACCUCCCUUUGUACAAAGUGUGACCUUCCUGCUGGCAAGAAAUCGGCCUCUUUUUUCCCUGGGGUUUUUAAAAAUAGUUCUUAUUGAUCCGCUUUGAAGGUUAGUUUCAAAUUCUUCAUAGGCUGGUUAUUUUUUUUUUUAAACUCAAAGGGAAAGAAAGGAACCUGCUGAUAUUUUUAUCAGAGAAGUUUAAAUUUCUAAUUGACCCAGUGGGUAAAACCCCUCCAUCUGCUGCUUAGGAACCUACCCGCCCCCCCCCCCCCGCCCGCCCUCUUCCCGGACUCUCUACCAAGAAGGUGGCCGUUUCAUCCAGUGAAAUACAGUAUUUUCGGGAAUAGUUAUUUAUAACCUGAGAAGUUAUGAGUGAAAGGAGGAAGUAUUCAGCCGUGUCAUUAGAAACCAACUCUAGCUUGACGGUGUGUGUGUGUGUGUGUGUGUGUGUGUUGGGGAAGAAUGCACCUCUGGCUGCCCCCACGAGGAGGGACCCCCACAGCCUGUGGCUCCCCAGCCCCCCAUGUCCAGGACAAGAGCCCCUCCCACUCCCUUGUUCUGUGGGCGCCUGGUUGACCCAGCGGCCAAGAUGCUGCCACCGUUCCGGAGCCAUCUGUGAGCCAAGAAAGCGUCCCUGCAGAUGAAGCGUGCAGUGAGUUUUGCACAAGGAGCCCGGGGUGCCCCCUGGGCCCCCAACCCUUCUCACAGGCUGGCUAUGUGCCUGGCACUGCGUCUGGAACGGUUUCAACUGACAGUGCACCUGAUUCCAGCCCAUUUGUCAGGAUGGUGGUUCAGCUGCAAAUACUGGGUUAGCAACAGAAGGAAAUAGGCAUCCUCCCCACCCCCACCGCCCCUCGCAUUGAUUUAGGACAUUGUUCCACACUCCUUGCAUCUUUGGGAAGGUGGGGCCUUCCAGCCUCAGGAGCAGGCUGGCUGAGUAGGGGGUGGCAGGUAGAAUUUCUCCAAUUCAGGGCUCCCCUGCCCGAUUCUUCUCCAACGCAGCCAGGUCGGGGUACCUGCCUUUCUCUCUCCCCGGCUGCAUCACGGGCUGCCUUCAAAGUCCACUUUGUCCGGGAAGCAUUCCCUGAACAUCCUGAUCAUCCCUGCUCCCGCUGAGGUCCUGCGCAGUUUGAAUCUGUGUGGCCCACGUGGGGCACACUUUAUCCUGUGCUUGGCCUUGAUCUCUGGCUGCAUCCUGCUACCCCAGCUCCUGGAAGACAAAGAUUAUGUUGUUUCUUUUUAGCAAUCAUAGAAGUGGAUCCAUAAGAAGGAUUCAGUUACAUUUCUCUCUCUGGAUUAGGUUGUCUAGCUACAUUUUUCUUACGUAGCUUUACUGGCUGGUCCCUGAAGGGCAGAUUGUGACGAUGAUUCUUUCGCUGGCACCCCCACCCCAGCUGUCGCCGCUCCUCUGUUGCCUCAGAGAGGAUCUGUUUCAUAGUCAAUGUUUUCAUUUGCUCUUCACAACUAUCCUUUUAAAUAGAUGGGACGGGAAUUAUAUUUUUUCCAUCAGUGGAUAAAAAUACCGAGAUUCAGAGCAGUUAAAUGGCGGUCCCAGGGUCACAGAGCUGACCCUGAACGCUUCUCUGUUGCAGGGAAGACCCGUGGUCCCGUUGGAACCGCAGGUACAUUCACGCACGAUAGGGCCUUGUGAGCUCAGGGCUCAUACAAUGUUGCGUAGGGUUAGGAUGAAUUGCAGGAAAAUAGCUGCUGCAGGGGCGCCUGGAUGGCUCAGUCCUUAAGCGUCUGCCUUUGGCUCAGGUCAUGAUCCUGGGGUCCUGGGGUCGAGCCCCGCAUUGGGCUCCCUGCUCUGUGGGGAGUCUGCUCCUCCCUCUGCCUGUCGCUUCCCCCUGCUUGUGCUCGCCGUCUCUCAAAUAAAUAAAUAAAAAUAUUUAAAAAAAAAAUAGCUACUGCAGGAUUGAAACAGUUAAAUCAAGAGGGAGCCCUGGCUGACAGGGGUCCUCCAGGUGGAGAUGUGGCAGGCCAGACCCAGCGGCUAUGGGGAGGGUGAGGAGGACUGCUUUCAGGGGCGAGGCAAGCCCUCCGUCUUACUGUAGUUAUCUGCACCAACCCUGAUACUUCCUGCCUCCCUCCCUCCCUCCCUCUGCUUUGGCUGUGAGCGCCUCCUGGGAUGCCCCCUCCCCCCUCUCUCACUGGAGCUCCAGGCUGAGGCUGGUUGUCCAGGCGUCUCGUGGAUGCUUCUGGGCGUCUGUUCCAGCAGCGCAGCACAGACCGAAGUCUUGCUCUUCCCAAACAGGCGUUUGGGUUUCCUAUUUUGGACCCUGAUGCCUCCAUCUGCUUGGCAGGGAGGCUGGAAACCCUGGAAUCCUGUUCUCUUUCCCUCACCAAGUUGUCCCUGGCGUCUGAGGACAAGGGUCCACACCUGCAAGUGCUCCCAGCCUCCACUCCAUCUUGUCCUCGCUGCUCCUGCCAGGACAGCCACUGGGACCAGCUCACUGGGCCCCCACCUCGGCAUGCCCCCGUUCUCGUUACCGUCUAUAAAACAAGGCAAACCAUGAUGCUCCUUCCUGAGAGCUCCCAGGGGCCUGGUGCUGUGGGCUGAAUCGAGUCCCCCCUCCUCCCCCCCCCCCAGGGUCCCAUGUUCAAGUCCUCACCACCAGGACCUCGGAAUGGGACUGUAUUCAGACGUUAUCUUAGUCUGCUCGGGCUGCCAAAAUAAAAUCCCACAGACUGGGGGAGUUUCAACAGCAGAAAUGUCCUGUCUCCCCGUUCUAGAGGCUGGAGAUCAAGAUGCUGGCAAGGUGGGUUUCAUCCUGACAGCCCUCUCCUUAGCUUGUAGGCAGAGGCCACCUGGCUGGGUUCACAGGAGACCCCUCUGUGCGUGCCCCGGGGGGUGGGUGGGGGCUCUCGGGUCUCUUCUUGUAACUAAUCCGAUCUGAGCAAGGCCCCAUCCUUCUGAUCUCAUUUAACCUUAAUUACUUCCUUCCAGAAAGGCCCCAUCUCUAAAUACUGUCAUACUGGGGAUUAGAGCUUCAACAUCUGAGUGGGGAGCAGGGAGGUCACAAACAUUGAGUUCCUAACAGAGACAGAACCUUCAAAGAGGUGAUUAAGUUACAAUGAGGCCAUUAGGGUGGGGCCUCAUCCAAUGUGACUGGUGUCCCUGUAAGAAGAAGAGAUUAAGACAGAACCAGGGACACUAGGCAGAGGGAUGGCCACCUGCCAGCCAAGGAGAGAGGCCUGGAAGAAACCCACUCUGUGGGCACCCUGAUCUCAGACUUCCCAGCCUCCAGAACCCGGACAAAAUGAAUUUCUGUUAAGUCACCCUAUCGAUGGUAUUUUGCUCUGGCAGCCAGAGCAGACCGAUAUCGUAUGAAAUGACAUUUGCGGUCUUCUGGGUCCUGGAUCCCUCUGCUUCUUCCCCAUGCACGCCAUGCCCUUGUAUACUCCCAGGCCUUUGCACACGUUUGCUCCCUGGUCUGGAACGCCCCUUUUCUCGGUGGCGAGGCAAUACAUUCUCACCGAGUCGCCCCCGUGCUCUCCUGUUAGAACCAGGGGCCGAAAGCAGACGUGAUGUGUGUGGCUCCCAGGCUGAAAGCAGUGAAAGAUACGUGUGUACACCCCACAUUGUUGUGUCUUCCCCUGCGUCGAGGUCAGGAAAGCAGGUGCUAGAAGGCAGGACCAGGGAUGGUAGCAGCCUGGAUCUCGGAGUCAGGACACUGAGGGAAUGCCCUGGACGUGGGCCCCCUGGAAUUCACAUUUGCAUAAGAGAAAUCGAUCUUUGUUGUGUUAAGCUUUCAAUCCCACAGCGCAGUCUUGACUAAUACAGCCUCAUUUUCUGCCCAAAUCUUCAUCUCCUAAGUCCCCGUUUAAAUACUACCUUUUUUUUUUUUUUUUUUUUUAGAUUUUAUUUAUUUGAGAGAGAGAGCAAGCACGAGUGGGGGGAGAGGUGGGAGGAGGGGCAGAGGGAGAUGCAGACUCCCCGCUGAGCUAAGCAGGGAGCCCGACGGGGGUGAUUAGAUCCCAGGACCCCCCGGAUCAUGACCUGAGCGGAAGGCAGACGCUUGACCCGCUGAGCCACCCAGGUACCCUGCUACCUCUUUCUUUAAAAGCUUUCCAGAAUUAACCCACGCCCAGUCAGAACUAAUCACUUUCCUUUGUACUUUGACAUCACGUGUACCUUAUGUCUAUCUGACAGUGCUUAGUGUCCUGGCUGGUUUAUGUACCUGUAGGGUUAGGGACAUGGAAUGAUUAAGAGGAUGAAUUCUGGAACUGGACUGACUGGGUUCACAUCUCACAUCUCAGCCCUGCCAUUUAUCAGCAGUGGGACCUUUGGUGAGGACCUCUGUUCCUAUCUGUCCAUCUGGUACCUACCAGAGUACCUUCUACAAUGAUUAAUCAUUCAGUAGUACCUGCUUGUCAGCUUCCUUCUGUUUUGUCUUGCAGAUUGAAGAAUUAGUAAAAGACCCACAGAGCCAGAGAUGGGGACCAAAGUGUAAAGCCAGAGGGUCCCGUGAUUAUAGAAUCAAGGGCCCUGUAACCUAACAGGUGGUAUAAUCUAUGGGGCAGGCCAGAGCCAGCAUAGACUACAGUUCCCUACAAAUUAAUUCAAACUGGAGGGGCAGAACUCAGGGAGAGGGAGGAAGGAAAGAUGAAUUCAGUGUCACUUUUGAAAUCACUUUCCCUGAAGUCAUCAUUUUAUGCGUCCAUCAAGAGACAGGCAUACCUUGGAGAUAUUAUGGGGUUGACUCCUGACCACUGUAAUAAAGCAAACAUUGCAAUAAAGUGAAUCAAAUGAGUUUUUUGGUUUCCCGGUGUAUGUAAAAGUUAUGUUUACACUAUACUGUGGUCUAGUGAAUGUGCAAGAGCAUUAUGUCUGAAUACAUAAUGUACGUAUCUUAAUUAAAAAUACUUUAUUUAAAAAGACUUCAAUGCUAAAACAUGCUAACUCUCAUCUGAGUUUUCAGUGAGUGGUAAUCACUGAUCACAGAUCACUGUAACAAAUAUAAUAAUAAUGCAAAAGUUUGAGGGGCACCUGGGUGGCUCAGUCAGUUAAGCGUCUGCCUUUGGCUCGGGUCAUGAUCUCAGGGUCCUGGCAUCCAGCCCCUCAUCAGGCUCCCUGUUCAGCGGGCUCCCUGCUCAGCAGGCUCUCUCCUCAGCGGGGAGUCUGCUUCUCCCUCUCACGCUCCUUCUGUGCACUCUCUCUCUCAAAUAAAUAAAUAAAUAAAAUCUUAAAAAAAAGAAAAAGUUUGAAACAUUGUGAGAAUUACGGAAUGUGAUCCAGAGACAUGAAGUGAGCAGGGAUGCCACCAACCUUCAAUUUGUGAAAAACACAGUAUCUGUGAAGUGGAUAAAGUGCGGCACAACAAAACAAGGUAUGUUGGAAGUUUUAUGAAUUUUUUUUCUACUGUGAUGAAUUACCUUGAUUGAUUUUUAGAAUACUGAAUCAUCCUUGCAUUCCUGGAAUAAACCCUAGUUGGAUGCUUGAUUUUUUAAAAGAUCUUAUUUAUUUAUUUUUAAAGAUUUAAUUUACUGAUUUGAGAGAGAGAGAGCGCACACACGGUGGGGGGGCGGGGGAAGGGGCAGAGGGAAAAGCAGGCUCCCCACUGAGCAGGAAACCUAACAUGGGGCUCGAUCCCAGGACCCUGAGAUCAUGACCUGAGUUGAAGUCAGACGCUCAACCAACGGAGCCACCCAGGUGCCCCUGGAUGCUUGGUUUUAUUUGCUAAUAUUUCAUUAAAGAUUUUGCAUCUAAUUCAUGAAUGGGGGCUUUUUGUUUUUUGUUUGCUU